ensembl:lncRNA
GGACUGCAUAAGCUGACGAAAGCUGAAGCACCAGCAGGUCCUGAGGAUCUUAGCGCAAAGAAAGCCAGAACUGGGAAGAUAAAGGGGUACAGCAGGGCCCCCACCCCGUUCCAGUCCUCCUGCUUCCCAGCCUGCUCUCUGGGCCUGGAGGAGGGUCCUCUCCGACUGGUCCGGUGUGGACACAUGGGCAGCGUCACUGUGUGGUGACAGCCGGGCACACAGGGCCCCUGGGCCACAUGCAGCCGCCCAGGGCUUCCAGGAGCCCAUGUGCAAGCGCCGGGACAGACAUCUGACACACAGACUCACCACCUAAAGUGGAAACACCUGGUUCCUGGGAAUCUGGAACUUAGCUUUUUUAAGGCCCUUUCCUUGGCCCUCGCCCUUCUGGGCUGCUGUCUCCUCCUGACUCCUCCCCCUGAGACGUGUGGCUCACAGGAGCAUCCCCAGGACCUGAGCUACUCAGCAGCUCCCACUGUGGUCCAGCCUCUCAGAGGGCCUGAUCCACCGCCUGUUGUAAACAGGGGAACUCGCCGUGGAAAGGCCCCUGCGCGACGGUCAGGAGACAGCUGCGCAGGGACGGCCACGCCCACGCCGCCUUCUCCGCCUGCCCACGCCGCCAAGGCUGCUGGGUUCACGGACUCUCUUCUCCUAGUAAGGGCUUCAGAGAUCCCCUCGGUCCUUCUGAAGUGUUCUGGAACGCGAGUGCAGGAAGCUAGCACACACUUUCCGUAUUCCGCUCCUGCAAUACGGCUCAAGCCUUUCCCCUUCACGACCGCACUGGCAGUGUCGGGAGUCACUUGGAUCAUUUUUCCGUUUAGUUGCUCUGAUUAACUCCAAGGACAACACGCCUACACGCGUCUCUAACUGGAGCAUGCACGGCCCCAGUUCCGGGCAAGAGCGACGCAAACAGUGUGUCUGUGAUACAGCUUCCUGGGGCAUCAUGUUUAUUCCCCGUGCUUUACAAGGACACCCAUUCAGCCUGAACUAACCCCACAAUGUCCCAAAGCCGAAACACCAAUGGUCCUGAGGAGACCCAUCUCCUGUCAGCUUGAAGUGAACCCCACAGUGUCCCAAGGCCAAAGCCUGAGCAGGUCCUGAGGAGACCAGACUCCAGUCAGCAGCCACAGGCAGCCAGGUGCUCAGGCAGAGCGGGAAUUCCGCUUGGGGUGCGGGUGGUCGAGGAGGCGGGCUCCUCGCUCCCUGCCAGCCAAUGGGAACUGCAGAUCAAGCCUCCCUCACUCACGCUGCUGCUGCUGCUGCUGCUGCUGCUGCUGCUGCUGCUGCUGCUGCUGCGUCGCUUCAGUCGUGUCCGACUCUGUGCGACCGCAGAGACGGCAGCCCACCAGGCUCUGCCGUCCCUGGGAUUCUCCAGGCAAGAAUACUGGAAUGGGUUGCCAUUUCCUUCUCCAAUGCAUGAAAGUGAAAAGUGAAAGUGAAGUCACUCAGUCGUGUCCGACUCUAGCGACCUCAUGGACUGCAGCCUACCAGGCUCCUCCAUCCAUGGGAUUUUCCAGGCAAGAGUACUGGAGUGGAGUGCCAUUGCUUUCUCCGCCCUCACUGGCGCAGGCACAGCUAAGUGGAGACUCCGCCCCUCGGGGCAGUUCUGCUAGGUCCAUUAAACUAUGGAAAUUCAAACUGAAAUAUUGCCAAUAUCCAAAACUUCUCCAAAAUAGUUAAGGAAUAAUUAACUUGAAACUGUAUAGAAUGAAACGUAGUCACCAAAUUCUCUCAAAUUUAUUAACAGACAUUUAAAAUUUGAAACUAUCAAAAUUGUGGACAUGAACAUAGAAAAUCUACAUGACCCUGGGUUUGGCCUGUAUAUCAUGAGCUUUGAGUUUUAACACACGAGCUGUCAGUCUACAAAAGAAAAAUAUUGUGGACUUUAUAGAAAUAAAGAUGUCUAUUCUGAAAGACCUCAUUCAGAAAAUCAAAAUACAAGCCACAAACUGGAAGAAAAAUAUUUGAAAAAUUCUGAUACAGGAUUUGGACACAAAAUAGAGAAAGACCUCUUGAACAACCCUAUAAACAACAAGUAAAGAUCUGAAGAGACACACAGCCAAAAAAAAGUUAUACAGAUAGUACAAAACAGAAACACACUCAACAUCAUACACCAUACACCAUUAGGGAAUUACAAAUUAAAGUCACAACCUAUUACACUACACAUAUUAGGGCUGCUAAACUCUAAAUAUAUGACAAUACCAAUUGCUGGAGGCUGAGGAAUAGCAGGAACGCUCCCUCACUGCUGGUGGGAUGCAUGCAUAGCCACCUUGUAACACAGUUGGGCAGUUUUCUCUAAAGCUAAGCACACCUCACCUUGAGAGCCAACAAUCGUACUUCCAGUAUUUAGGAAACUGCUUUGAAAAAUCCAUGCCCAAACGCAAACAAAGAUGAACUUAGGCACAGCAGCACUACCCAUAAUAGUUAAAAGUAAUCAGGGUAUCCUUCAAUAGAUGAAUGCAUAAUCAAAUUGGGGUAUAUCCAUGUCAAAGCAAGUAGAACAUGCCACCCCAAAAUAUGCCUCUCUGCUGUGAGGAUUGCUUAAGUCCACUUCCAUGAAAAAAGAAAAAAAAAAAAAAGAGGACUCUCAGUAAACUAAGUAGCAAUUGCCGUUUUGUGAUGGACAUUUACAACAGAGAAAUCUCUUCAUUUAAGGGUUGUCCCUGUUUGCACCAGAAAUAAAAGGACAAUUAAAACUCAAGUAACUUAUCAAUGGAGAGGUCCCGACUUAAAUCUAUAAACAAUCAUACCCUUCUUUACUGUGUUUUGUGUAAUUACCUUCCAUAAUGGGCUUCUCCCAUCCUUCAGGGUCUUGUUUUUAGCUGAAGAUGGCAUUUAAGGUGAUGACUUUGGACAUUUCAGGGAGUGACUCAGGUUUAUUUGGUAGCUCCCCUGUAUACAGAAGCUAUUUGUUGUUUUAGUCACUAAGUCAUGUUCACCUCCUUGCAACACCACAGACUAUAGCCUGCCAGGCUCCUCUGUCCAUGGGAUUCCCCAGGCAAGAAUACUGGAGUGGGUUGCCAUUUCCUUCUC